UUUUUUUUUUUUUUUUUGGUACCUGCAUCCUAGGAUUUGAAAAAUUAGAUUAUUCAUUGCCUUCCUCUUUAUGGGCAUUUAAGGUAAGGUGGAACAAAUGCCCCCAGAUAAUUUAGAUAUGAAUUUUUGACAACAGAACAAACACAGAUUCAAGACUUAAUGGAGCAGGUGAGUGUCUUUAUGUUAAGACCUCUGCUCAGAGAAUCCUUCGUGGAAAUAGUAGUAGCAGCUUUUUUUCUUUUUUUUUUUUCUUUUUUUUUGGACAGUGGCUUUGGAUUAUAGAAGACUCUAUGACCAAUAUUUAUAAAUCACAUUUAGAGAAAGCCAUUGUCUACAUUUAAGAUACGUCUCUUUAGCCUUUUUUCCCUCCUAUGUCUUGUUUUGGAAGAAACCAAAAGACUACCUAUAAGCAGUGGAGAGAGCUAUACAACAGGGUUUCUCAACCUCAGCGCUGCUGACAUUUAGUUCUUGGUUGUGAGGCUGUCCUGUGUGUUGUAGGAAGAUCAGCACCAUGCUUGGCUUACCUACUCGAUGCCAAUCACUCGUCUCCCUCCCCCAGCAACAACAAUCCUAAAUGUCUCCUGAUGUUGUCACACGUUCCCUGCCGGUGGGACUUGGAGUCCCCUGAUGGCUCAAUGGGUUAAGGACCUGGUGUUGUCCCUGCUGUGGCUUGGGUCACUGCUGUGGUUCAGGUUUGCUCCCUGGCCUGGGAACUUCCGCAUGCUGUGGGCAUGGCCAAUAAAAGAGGAAGAAAGAAAGAAAAAGAAAAAAGUAGGACUCAGAGGCAGUCUAAAAACUGCAAGAGGCCCAGAUUUCUCGAUCAAUAAAAGUCCACAUCAAAAAGAUAAAAAAUUAAGAACUAAAAAAGACAUCAGGAAAUUAUUUGCAACGUGUAAAUCAAAGUUAAUACUUUUACCGUACAGAGAUCAUAAGUGAAUCAACAGGAAAUUUGACAAAGACCCAUUUAGAUAAAUGGACAAAGGCCAUGAAACAAUUUUCUCAUGGAAAUAUAAUGGCAGAAUGCAAUAUUCAAACUCAUAGGCAAAAUUUACAGUGUUUGUUAUUCUUACUGUUGCUUUACGGUUCAGCGCAAAAGUUAUUAAAUGAAGCAGAGAAAAAUAGGGGCUGUUUUUAAGGAAGUGUCCUGAUACCACAUCUUCUUAAUCCAUUCAUUUAUCAGUGGACAUUUGGGUUGUUUCCAUGUCUUGGCUAUUGUGAAUAGUGCUGCAGUGAACAUGGGGGUGCAUGUAUCUUUUUGAAUCAAAGUUCUGUCUAUGCCCUGCCGUGGGACCACUGGAUCAUAAGGCAGUUCUAUAUUUAGUUUUGGGAAGACCCUCCAUACUGUUUUCCACAGUGGUUGUACCAAUUCACAUUCCCACCGACGGCGUAGGAAGGUUCCCUUUUCUCCACACCCUCUCCAGCAUUUAUUGUUUGUCGUCUUAUUAGUGAAUGAUGGCCAUUCUGACCGAUGUGAGGUGGUCCCUCAUUGUAGUUUUGAUUUGCAUUUCUCUAAUAAUGAGUGCUGUUGAGGUGGAAUACGAUGGAAGAUAUUAUGAGACAAAUAAUGUCUAUGUAUAUAUAACUGGAUCACAUUGCUGCUGUAGAGCAGGAAUUGACAAGUAUCACUUAAAAUUUUUUUUAAAAAAAUCAAGAAAGGGUUCUGGGAGGGAGGAGAGCCACAGUGGCCCAGAGCCGAGGGUCUAAACUCAGGGCAAGUCAGGAGAACUUUCCAUAAGUUCAUGUUGGAGCAGAAUGGGGAGAGCGACAGAGACAUGACUUCUUGUUUUGGAAAGGGAAGAAACUAGAAUAAACUCUCUUCACUGUAGGUAUUGGUGUGAACACCUGAUGUUAAGUAGAGCGUUGCAGAAAUAGACAUAGAUGCAUACAUGUAUUUCCUAGCUCUGUCCACGGAAAGGGUCUGUGAGUACCUAGUGUACACCUGGUCCUAGAACUUGGUUUCUUUUUGUAAUUGAAGCAUAGCUGACUUACAGUGUUGUGUUAAUUUCUGCCGUACAGCCAAGGGUAUGGCAGAACACUCUUUUUUAAAUAUUCUUUUCCACUGUUGGUUGAAUAUAGUUCUCUGUGCUAUACAGUAGGAACUUGUUUUAGCAUUCCGUUUCUAAAAACUGUCUCCACUUAAAGUCUUCCUUGGACACAUGGCUAAUUCUAGGGCCAAGAGAACGCAAAAGAUGAGCCUGGAAUAUCUUUCUGUUCCAUAAAGUCAGGAAGUGCUCAGAGGAAGAUGGGGAGUAUAUCAAAAGGACAUAGGAGCAAGCUUAAAGGGGCUCCCUCUAGCCAAGUCUGCUGCAAUUUGAACAUCCAAAUAAUGAUAGUAAUAGAGUCGAAUAAAAGAGGAAUUCAUGAGCCCCAACUGGUCGAAAUAAGUCAGUGCUUAAAGUCCAAGUUUGAUGGGGAAUGGGAUAUUUGCAUCGUGUCAAAGUGACUGCCCUACCCUCAGAUACUUACUAAUUGCAAAGGGAAAAUGGGUGACUUCACAGUAGAGAAGCCAGGCAGACUCCACCUUAACAAGUGAUCAGAGUUAACAGCCUUGGUAAUAGGACUGAUUGAGAUUAUGACCACCUGAUAGGAUGUAAUGAGAAGAAUACAGUACCGUCGCUGUGAUAGUCUCGCCAAAGAUGCAUAACUUGAAUCUAAUCGUGAAGAAACAACGAGCAGACCCAAAUUUGAGGGCAUUUUGUAAAAUAACUUACCUCUCAUCUUCAAAAGUGUCAGAGUUGUGAAAGGUAAAGAAACGUAUGCUUUGAAUGGGCUCCUAUUGCCAUGGAAGUCAUUAUGGAGCAAUUGGUGAACCUUAUAUAGAGUUUAAAGAUUAGGUGGCAGUAAUAUGCCAGGGUUAAUUUCCUAAUUUUCAUCAUCAUAGGAUAGUGUUUAAGUUAUCUUUUUUUUUUUUUUUUGGUCUUUUUAGGGCCACUCCUGUGACAUAUGGAGGUUCCCAGGCUAGGGGUCUAACCGGACCUGUAGCCCCUGGCCUACACCACAGCUCACGGCAGUGCCAGAUCCUUAACCCACUGAGCAAGGCCAGGGAUUGAAGCUGCAUCCUCAUGGACACUAGUUGGAUUCUUAACCCACUGAGCCACAAUGGGAACUCCAAAUUAUCCUGUUUUUGCACCUUAACAUUAUCCUGUUUUUGCACCUUUUCUUCUAAGUUUGCUAUUCUUUUGAAAUAAAAAAAAUUAAAAAUGGCAGUGCUGGUAGCUUCAUACCUUGUUGAUAUCACCCUUUACAUACCAAGUUAACAAUCUGUAUCAGAAGCCUUAAAUGCCCACAUCCUGACCAACAUCUAGUAUUCUCUUCUAUGGAAACAAAGAAAAAUAUUGAAAAGGUAGUUGUAUUAUAGUGUUAAGUGGAAAAGUUCUAUCAAUGAUCUGUACAUACAGUAGGUUAUUUACUAUGUACAAAAAUAUUAAAAGACUGGACCCCCCCACCCAUUAUUCUUAGUGUUAGCCUUUCAAGGCAGGAUGACUCUGAAUGCUCUGAAUAGCCACAAAUUGGCUAAACUGUUUUCCCAUUAUUUUUUUUUCAGUGUACAUUUUAUUUCCAUUAAGGUAGUUCCAUUUCCUUGUAUCCUUUUUCCUUUGGCCUUAGCCAGCUCACUGUGCCCCCUGCCCCCUUGUUUUAGUCUGUCGCUGCCUCCCUCUGCCCUCCUGCAUCUGUUUCUUGUGUUGAAACAUUUGAAAAUGUGUGUUUUGAUCCUGUUCCCUUGUGGUAGACCUGGGUUAAGGCUGUUCUCUUUCAAAUCUGCAACUACCAAUAAAGAUGGACAGGAUUGUGUAGCUGUGGGCAGCCCCAGGUGCCCGCUUUGAUGUAGGCAGGGAUUAUUGCUUGGGUUCUACAUCCUAGAUUUCAAAAUGCCAGCCAAUUAGAAGCUCAAGCACUCAUCCAUCAGUGCCAUCCUCAAAGGAAACUCCCCUCAGAUUGUUCAGUUAGGAGUCUUCUCUCAUCUUUGGUUUAUGGUACUGUGGCUGGAUUGUGGGCAUCUUCUUGGGUAUUUUACUGGGAAAUUAAAAGAAGACAUCUACUAAAAUCCAGAAAGCCUAAAACUAACUUUUAUCAAAUAUCUGCUAUACAUACAUAAUCCUUUAAAAAGAUUCAUAAUAGCUUUAGAUUUGUUGUGUUAUCACAACAGGAAAGUGGCGUUUAGAGAGGCUCACAUUAGGACUGGUUAACCAGCUAGUAAGCGGUAGAGUCAGCCCACACCUGUUGGUUCAAAUUCAUGUCUUUUCAUGAAACCCCAGUUCCUGUAGAAAGCACAGGUGAAAUGUUUUCUGAUCACCAGGGAAUCAUAAGGGCUAAACAUCACAAUUUAUUGCCUAGGAUGUGUACUUUCUCUUUGUGACAAAGUUGCUAAUGAGAGCCAGAUUUCUUUCUUUCUUUUGCUUUUUAGGGCCGCACCCACAGCAUAUGGAGAGUCCCAGGCUAGGGGUCGGAUUGCAGCUACAGCGGUCAGCAAGGUGGGAUCUGAGCCUCAUCUGUGAUCUACACCACAGCUCAUAGCGAUGCCAGAUCCUUAACCCACUGAGUGAGGCCAGGGAUCGAACCCAAAACCUCACGGUCCCUAGUCAGAUUUGUUUCCAUGGCACCACAACGGGAACUCCCGAAAGCCAGAUUUCUAUGAUGCUUUUGAACCUAGGAGAUGUAUUUUGAUUUUUUUCUGCAUUUCUCUCUCUCUCUUUCUGUUUUUAAGAUAAUAAGAGUGUAAAUUGUACACCAGAAGGCCUCUCAGGCAGACUUUUCAGACUCUUCUCAGAAAGCAGGAGUUUGGACAUUUGAUGUUGUGUCACAGAUGGCACAAGAAAAGCACACUAUCUCUUUGUAGUACAAACUAUCAUUCUGUGUAAUAUUCCUCUUAUCUCCCCAUCCAUCUUUACAAAAAUACAUUUUUGAGUACUUGCUUGGCUAAAUAUGCCAAACUGUCUCAUACCUGGCAUUCCCUUUAGGCUCAUGACUUGCCCAUCCGUCAUCUUGGCAAGAUUUCCAUUGUUAAAUUGUCCUACUGG
ensembl:lncRNA